AUUGAACGCUGGCGGCAGGCCUAACACAUGCAAGUCGAACGGUAACAGGAAACAGCUUGCUGUUUCGCUGACGAGUGGCGGACGGGUGAGUAAUGUCUGGGAAACUGCCUGAUGGAGGGGGAUAACUACUGGAAACGGUAGCUAAUACCGCAUAACGUCGCAAGACCAAAGAGGGGGACCUUCGGGCCUCUUGCCAUCAGAUUUGCCCAGAUGGGAUUAGCUAGUAGGUGGGGUAACGGCUCACCUAGGCAACGAUCCCUAGCUGGUCUGAGAGGAUGACCAGCCACACUGGAACUGAGACACGGUCCAGACUCCUACGGGAGGCAGCAGUGGGGAAUAUUGCACAAUGGGCGCAAGCCUGAUGCAGCCAUGCCGCGUGUAUGAAGAAGGCCUUCGGGUUGUAAAGUACUUUCAGCGGGGAGGAAGGGAGUAAAGUUAAUACCUUUGCUCAUUGACGUUACCCGCAGAAGAAGCACCGGCUAACUCCGUG
rnacentral:rRNA from 1 species